CCUACGGGCGGCAGCAGUGGGGAAUUUUGCGCAAUGCUCGUAAGAGUGACGCAGCGACGCCGCGUGAAUGACGAAGGCCUUCGGGUCGUAAAGUUCUUUCGACAGGGAAGAAAAUGCCUAUAAGUAACUGUGUAUGUAUUGACGGUACCUGUAUAAGCAGCGCCGGCUAACUCCGUGCCAGCAGCCUCGGUAAUACGGGGGGGGCGAGCGUUGUUCGGAGGGACUGGGCGUAAAGAGCAAGUAGACGGUGUUGUAAGUCAUGAGUCAAAGACUAUAGCUCAACUGUAGUAAGGCUGGUGAUACUAGAAAACUAGAGUAUCAGAGAGGAUUGCAGAAUUCCUGGUGUAGCGGUGAAAUGCGUAGAUAUCAGGAGGAAUACCGUUAGCGAAGGCGGCAAUCUGGCUGGAAACUGACGCUGAGGUGCGAAAGCGUGGGUAGCAAACAGGAUUAGAUACCCCAGUAGUC
rnacentral:rRNA from 1 species